rnacentral:lncRNA from 1 species
ACUCAGGGUCACUGGGGUGACAGGACUGCAGAGUGGGCCCCUGGCCUGUCUAGGAAUAUCGGUCGAACACCGAGCCUGCGAGAGGCUCUUCGCGCCCACUUGCUCACCCGAUUGGGGUACUCCUUCUCCACACAGUCCCCACACAUCGUCACGCAGUUUUCGGAGAACGACCCCAGCGACACCCGGAAGGCGAAACCUCGCGAGAGUUGAGAUAUCGAUUUUGUCGCACACGAUCUAAGGACUCCACAGCUGGCUAAAAGUCUCCGCCCAUAGCAACGGUUGUUAGGCGGUCUCCGGGUAAGGAGGGUGCACCGAGGACUGGACUCAAAAAUCUUCAGGUAUUGAAAAGAUCUGAGGACUCAAAGAAGUGUCGAAAAGAGGAAGAGGCUUUGAGCCUGAAAGAACUUCUAAUAGGCGCCUUCUUGAAUUCUGAUUAAAAAAGAAUUACAGAAGUACAGC